rnacentral:rRNA from 1 species
UCCGGUUGAUCCUGCCGGACCCGACUGCUAUCAGAGUGGGACUAAGCCAUGCGAGUCAACAUAGCAAUAUGUGGCAUACGGCUCAGUAACACGUAGUCAACAUGCCCAGGGGACGUGGAUAACCUCGGGAAACUGAGGAUAAACCGCGAUAGGUCAUCACUUCUGGAAUGGGUAAUGACUUAAAUCUAUAUGGCCCCUGGAUUGGACUGCGGCCGAUCAGGCUGUUGGUGAGGUAAUGGCCCACCAAACCUGUAACCGGUACGGGCUCUGAGAGGAGGAGCCCGGAGAUGGGCACUGAGACAAGGGCCCAGGCCCUAUGGGGCGCAGCAGGCGCGAAACCUCUGCAAUAGGCGAAAGCUUGACAGGGUUACUCUGAGUGAUUUCCGUUAAGGAGAUCUUUUGGCACCUCUAAAAAUGGUGCAGAAUAAGGGGUGGGCAAGUCUGGUGUCAGCCGCCGCGGUAAUACCAGCACCCCGAGUGGUCGGGACGUUUAUUGGGCCUAAAGCAUCCGUAGCCGGUUCUACAAGUCUUCCGUUAAAUCCACCUGCUUAACAGAUGGGCUGCGGAAGAUACUAUAGAGCUAGGAGGCGGGAGAGGCAAGCGGUACUCGAUGGGUAGGGGUAAAAUCCGUUGAUCCAUUGAAGACCACCAGUGGCGAAGGCGGCUUGCCAGAACGCGCUCGACGGUGAGGGAUGAAAGCUGGGGGAGCAAACCGGAUUAGAUACCCGGGUAGUCCCAGCUGUAAACGAUGCAGACUCGGUGAUGAGUUGGCUUAUUGCUAACUCAGUGCCGCAGGGAAGCCGUUAAGUUUG